ACUUUAACCCCAAAGGUUGUAAAUGACAUUCAUAAACGUGGUGGUACAAUUAUUGGAACGUCACGAGAAGGGCAUGAUACCUCAAAGAUGUUGAUAGCAUUCAAGACCGUGGGAUUAACCAGGUUUAUAUAAUCGGAGGGGAUGGAAUUCUAAAAGGAGUUGCUGCAAUCUUUCAGAUGGUUUUGGACGUACAAAUGUGGAUAUGACUUUUUCUGACACGUACGGAAGGGCAUUGUUUUUAUACCUCUGUCCGUAUAUAUCGUGGUUCGUUCAGUAAUAAUUGAUUUGCGUGGUAAAUAUCUCAAAUAUGGCAUGGUAGAAAUUAGCAUUUGAUGUGGUAUAAAUUAGUUUUUGGGGCAGUACAUAUUAGUUUUUUGGUGUGGUACAGUUUUUCUCUAUUAUGUAUAUUUUUAAAUUAUUGAGGUUGGAAUAUACUUGGGUCGUAUGGAAUUUGUAUUACAUAUGUCGAAUGGAAUGGAAUGGAAUUGGAUGUCGAAUGGAAUUUUUUGCGUUCACGUUGUCGAAUGGUUGAUAAUAUAUAUUUAGUAUUGAUGGAUUUUAUUGUUUAUACAUUGUAUAGGUUGUACUAAUAAUGGAUACAUGUGGUUCAGAAAUUUAAAAAAAAAAAAAAAUUAUUUGUAAUAUAGUAUUUGGCUACUAACUAUUUUGGUAGCCAAA